UACGUAGGUGGCAAGCGUUGUCCGGAUUUACUGGGCGUAAAGCGUAUGCAGGCGGGAUCUUAAGUAGGAAGUGAAAGGUUGGAGCUUAACUCUAACACUGCUCCCUAUACUGGGAUUCUUGAGUGCCGGAGAGGAAGACGGAACGACACGUGUAGCGGUGAAAUUCGUAGAGAUCAGGUGGAACACCGGAGGCGAAGGCGCCUGCCUGGCAGUGUAUUGACGCUGAGGUGCGAAAGUGCGGGGAGCAAACAGG
rnacentral:rRNA from 1 species